GAUGAACGCUAGCUACAGGCUUAACACAUGCAAGUCGAGGGGCAGCAUGACCUAGCAAUAGGUUGAUGGCGACCGGCGCACGGGUGAGUAACACGUAUCCAACCUGCCGAUUAUUCCGGGAUAGCCUUUCGAAAGAAAGAUUAAUACUGGAUAGCAUAACGAGAAGGCAUCUUCUUGUUAUUAAAGAAUUUCGAUAAUCGAUGGGGAUGCGUUCCAUUAGUUUGUUGGCAGGGUAACGGCCCACCAAGACAUCGAUGGAUAGGGGUUCUGAGAGGAAGGUCCCCAACAUUGGAACUGAGACACGGUCCAAACUCCUACGGGAGGCAGCAGUGAGGAAUAUUGGGCAAUGGACGAGAGUCUGAACCAGCCAAGUAGCGUGAAGGAGGACUGCCCUAUGGGUUGUAAACUUCUUUUAUAUGGGAAUAAAGUGGGCCACGUGUGGCUUUUUGUAUGUACCAUACGAAUAAGGAUCGGCUAACUCCGUG
rnacentral:rRNA from 1 species